CAUGGCACGGUCGUUCCUUGUGGUGUUUAAAGAUACGACAGCGGUGGUGGAGUUUUGGAUGGCACCGAUGCCACACAUCGUCCAUUUUGUCUUUGUCAGCGCCAUGGCGAGCCAACCGCAGCGAACGGGGCUGAAAAUAACCGAUCUGUGGAAAGAGCUGCAGGAAGACUUCUUCCGCGUCCUCCAUGCACCCGCGAUUAACGGCCACCCACGAUUUUAAAGAUCCGACUGCUAACUGCAACGUUGGUCAUUAUGGUCUCCAGCGGCAUGCAUCAGACGGUUCGCCCCAUGCUGCAGGGCACGCCGUACCUUCCUUUCGCAUUAACGCAGACACCGGCGAUCGCUACAUGUAGUUACAUAUCCGCUUUCGGCUGCCUAAUCGCCACCGUCGCCUCCCAGACCGACAAUGGUGCAGUCCGCACUCCGCACAUGUGCCGGCAACGUAAAGCUGCUUCGUAAGCCUGACUGGUAGUUGGAUGACACAAGUCAUAGGGCA